AUGAAACUUUGAUUUUGGGUUUUACCAAUUAGAUAGGUUUGUUGUUAUAGAAAUGGCUAGUUCAUACUAUUUAUGUAAAGGUAAAAAGUUGAAAUUUGAUGAUAAUGC